GUCAAAGUUAAGUUAGAGUCAACAUGUGACAUCUUGAAUUGACAUCACGUCACAUGCAUAUAAACAUGUAGCAGUGAACCUUCUCUCCUUUGGGUUUCCUGUCGUGAUGUCACCGAGCAGCUAUGCAGUCAGGGCUACUUACUCAGUGGCGGUGGGUGACGUCUAUCAGCCCAGCAGACGGACGGACGGAUCCAGAGUGGAGAGCGCCAGGGAGAGGAGCACGAGAGCAGCGGCGCUCCGGAACAUCUGGACGAGGGAGAGGGUUCGGUCAGAGACACCAAAGUUCAUUACGUUCAACUGCGUGGAAAACCAACAUUUAAGAUAACCCAGGAACAUGGCCAAACAAAGCGUGAGGUAUCCCCCGGACCCGGCGCUGGUUCCUUACCAUGUUGAUAGCGGUAAGAGGGUGGUGUUCCUGAGCGGAGGAGAGGUGGUGUCGGUGUGGUGGAGGUCUGAGGCGCUGAGGAAUGCCUGCUCUUCGCUUCUCCCCCUCCGACGUGACGUGGCCAAUGAGAAGGUCUGUAGCGGGAGGGACGGCUCCACCUCGAGUAGGAGGAACCGGAGGAGGAACCGGAGGUGAAUGGAGGAAGAGAUGACCUGCAUCAUGGACCCCGUCUAGAGCCCCCACAAAACAGAACAGGGAGAUGGAGCAGGGGUGAUGGGGACGAUGGGGCUCGGUGUUGGGGCGGGGGUGGUAGUGAUGCCUCACAUUCACCCAUUAAUGCAGACUUUCACCCACCGACGGUGGUGUGACCCAUGCAAGGGGACCGCCAGCUCGUCGGGAGCAGUUAGGGUGAGGCGUCUCGCUCAGGGACACCUCCACACUUGAACCAGCAACCUUCCGGUUACCAGCCGACCUGCUCCACCUCCUCCAAUCACCCAGUUCACAGCCAGGCAGGGUGGACAGAACCCUGUUGAGUUGUUCAUGCUGACGGCUCUGCCUGCUGGCUGGGCUGGGAGGGGGAGGGGCCGGAUUCUACACAUCGAGACUUUAAUGAAUCUGCUUGAAAUGCAAAUCGUGUUUUACAGCACCACUGAAUUUUCAUUUGUCUUCUGUUUGCUAGAGCUUUGGGUGCGGGCACCUUACACACGCACACACACACACACGCACGCACGCACGCACGCACGCACGCACGCACACAUACACACACACACACACACACACACAAAUUGGCAGUGUGUGAAUGGAAAUUGAAUCAACAAUGUAAUCAAUUCAUUAGACAUUGUUGCAGCCAAUCAGCUCGCUUCAUGAUCAUCUUUUUUUAAAGGCACAGGAGACAGAAGCCCUCGUCCACGAGCUGCGUAUCAUCUCCUCUGCCCUGGUCCUAGCGGGGUCUCAGGUGUGAGGGUCACCUGACAGGGGUUCAGCUGUUCAUCUGAUCACAUGAUGAACAAACACUGGUCUCUCGUCAUGAGGAGAGGAGACGAGGAGAUGAGACGAGGAGAGGCGAUGAGGAGAGGAGAUAAGGACAGGUGCCUCAUCCGUGUACCAACACGGGCCAUCUGCAGGCCCCAGAGUGGAGCUAUGAUGAGCUGCAGUAUGGGGGGUUUCUGGCAGUUUCCCCCUCAGAUGAGCCUGGUUUUCUGGGUUUUCUGGGAGGCUGAGAGGCCCUGAGAGCAGAGCCUGAAGAGACGCCCACGGGCAGGAGUCUGGACGGAGGAGCGUGGAGAUAAGAACGCAGACUCAUGCGGAGACUGCAGGGGGCCGGGAUCCUAGCAGGGAGGAGAACGCGUGGGUGCUCUCUGCAGACCCACUCGCUCCCCCGAAGGGCCCAGCCCACAUAAACACUGUUUCCUCCUACAUUAGUACCUCCUGAGUCAUCAGAAAACAGAGAACAUUGAAUCAUGACGGCACGACGCAGAACCCUAGAGGCGGCCAUUAGUGAGGACAUUCGCUCAUUAACCUGGUAUUUGGAAAACUUCCCCGCAGACGCUUGCACACAAUGUUGUGUUGUUCUGUUGUUAAGAGGGGAUUAAAAAAGGCCAUUACAGCACCCCCUGCUGGCCCAAGAGGCUGCAUUUUCCCCUUUCCUCGACUGCCUGCCCUACCGUCCUAAUCAGAACGGAGUGCGUGAGCGUGAGUUGAUAUGAGGACAUGUCUGUCUCUGGUUUCCUGCUGUUUAUGUCUUGAUGUCUCGCGUGAUGAAUUCACAUCUUUAGUUAAUUGGAGGAUAUUUCAGUAAUUAUUUUAUCCAAGGGACUUGUGGCCGGGAAAACUCUACAUUACCCCGAUUGAAUGUUGAUCUGAAAGGCUUUAUGUUUAG
ensembl:lncRNA